rnacentral:tRNA from 1 species
UGUGUCCUGGCGCGGCGACGCGGCGCUGGGCGACGGCGCCGACGUCGGACGGGACCUGACCGGCGGCUGGUUCGACGCGGGCGACCACGUC